rnacentral:rRNA from 1 species
ACGAGAAUCACUGGAAGGAGUUUUCGGACAACGGAAGGUGAGGACAGUGGCGGACGGGUGAGUAACGCGUGAGGAACCUGCCUUUCAGAGGGGGACAACAGUUGGAAACGACUGCUAAUACCGCAUGACACAUAGAGAUCGCAUGGUUUUUAUGUCAAAGAUUUAUCGCUGAAAGAUGGCCUCGCGUCUGAUUAGCUAGUUGGUGAGGUAACGGCCCACCAAGGCGACGAUCAGUAGCCGGACUGAGAGGUUGACCGGCCACAUUGGGACUGAGAUACGGCCCAGACUCCUACGGGAGGCAGCAGUGGGGAAUAUUGGGCAAUGGGCGCAAGCCUGACCCAGCAACGCCGCGUGAAGGAAGAAGGCUUUCGGGUUGUAAACUUCUUUUGUCGGGGACGAGUAGAAGACGGUACCUGGCGAAUAAGCCACGGCUAACUACGUGCCAGCAGCCGCGGUAAUACGUAGGUGGCAAGCGUUGUCCGGAUUUACUGGGUGUAAAGGGCGUGUAGCCGGGAAGGCAAGUCAGAUGUGAAAUCCACGGGCUUAACUCGUGAACUGCAUUUGAAACUACUUUUCUUGAGUAUCGGAGAGGCAAUCGGAAUUCCUAGUGUAGCGGUGAAAUGCGUAGAUAUUAGGAGGAACACCAGUGGCGAAGGCGGAUUGCUGGACGACAACUGACGGUGAGGCG